CUAGCAACGGCUGCCCAACAAUCACUUGGCUGAAGAGAGUCGGUAGCAAACAUGCUGUGCUGCUUUUCCAGGCCUCAAGGCCGCAGCCUCAAGACCCCACACGGGAAAAGCACUUGGGAAUGGGUGAGAGGAUGGAUCACUGGGUCCAGACACUCCAGGCCACUCCAGGAACCACCCAGUCCUCAGGAGCAUCCCAGGGCAGGUCUCCCUGGACAGCCUCCUCAUCUAUAGGCCCUCUGUCCCGGAACCCAGAAGGGCCUGCAUUUCCUCCCCACUGGAGGGGAUGGAGGAAAGCUCCACAUCCUCUUCCCUUGACUCCUUGUUGGAGCGGCACACCCAGGUAUACACUGUCACAUAUCUUCUGAACCAGGUGGAGCAAGAUGAGCUCACUGAGGCAGAGGCCAAGGGAGCAGCUCCAGUCCAAGCUGAAGUCCCACCUGCAGAGCCUGUGCCAGCUCCACCUGCAGCUGCCUCCCCAGCUCUGGCACCACAGCCAGAGCGAGCACCAGGAAGCCCUUCUCCUCCAGCUGGACAGCUGGGGCAAAUGGUGGCUCCUCAGCAGGUGUCAGCUCCUGACCUCCCCUUGGGGCAAGCUCCUGCCCCACACUGGCCAUUCCCCUCCAUUAUUGUUGCUCUUGUUUUUUCCUUGACUUUUGCACUUAUUUGCUGGAUUUAUGUCAAUGAUAGAUUGAUUUUUAAAUAAAAGGUAAGAUUUUACUGUUGCUUAACAUGAUCGGCUUGGUGGCAUGAAGUACCUUCUCAGUGCGGUGAACCUGACACCUCUGUCGAGGUCCAGGGCAUUUUCCUCAGUGCUGCACCCAUGAGUGGUUCCUCCUCUGACACCUGCUGCUAGUCCCUGGCCACCACUCAUCUUAUGUCCCCGUAAUUUACCUAUUCUACAUUUUUCACAUCAGUUCAAUCAGAUUUCUCCGUGUCCACAUAAUCCUGG
rnacentral:lncRNA from 1 species